AGGAAAAGUUCUUAAAGCUUGUUAUGAUACAAUUACAGAAACACUGGUGGAUUAUCCUGUGAUCCAAAAUUUUUUGGAAAAACCAAAUAAUGGUAAAAAACAAGAAGGAUGGUUGGUUAAAUCAAAUUCACCUAAAAAAAAACAAAACGCAACAUAAAUGAAGAAGUUGUUGACAAUUCAUCUGGUGAGUUUUCAAACAAAGGGGAUAUACAUUUUAUUUUAAAUAAUGAUACAUCACUUAAAAAUAAAGAAGACAAAAUAAAUAGUUAUCUCCCUGGCAAGAGUUCUAAAGGUGGACGACCAAAAAAAAAUUCAAAUUCACCAAUUUCCUAUAGACAUGGAAAGCUUUCAGCAAAAAGUUUUGUUUUGUUUAAGCGACCUUAAAGAAAAAAUGCAACUAAUCGAAAAACAACAAUCAAAGAUUCUUUUAUUUCUAUCAAAGAGUGACAAUGAAGAUGUAGAUGAUUUCGAACAAACGACUACCACCGAAAAACUUUUGGCACUCGAAAAAAAAUAGUUGACAACAAAAAAAUUAAAUUAAUGCUUCAGAGGAAGGUGGAAGUUAUAGGGUUAACAUGUAAGUCCAUGAGCGAGCAUGUUCGUUGUUCUCUAAAUGCAAUUAUGUCAUGCAAGUUGCAAAUAAAUAUGAAUGUUAUGUAUGGUAAUAAUGUACCGUUAAAGUCAUAUACGGACCAUUUGUUUUCGGACCAUCAUCUUCCAACAUUCAUAAAUUACUCAGAUCAAUAUCUAAUGUUUGGAAUUCCUCAGAAAAAGAAACCAAACGAGUUAUAUCAGAGUGGCUUAAACAAGCAGGAAAACGUUUUUGUAGUAACUACAAUCAUGUUAGGCUGUCAAACUUUUUAUUAA